GGAAUAUUGGUCAAUGGACGAAAGUCUGAACCAGCCAAGUAGCGUGCAGGAUGACGGCCCUAUGGGUUGUAAACUGCUUUUAUAUAGGGAUAAAGUCGGGGACGUGUCCCCGUUUGUAGGUACUAUAUGAAUAAGUCCCGGCUAAUUCCGUGCCAGCAGCCGCGGUAAUACGGAAGGUCCAGGCGUUAUCCGGAUUUAUUGGGUUUAAAGGGAGCGCAGGCUGAAGAUUAAGCGUGACGUGAAAUGUCCCGGCUCAACCGUGGAACUGCGUCGCGAACUGGUUUUCUUGAGUGAGUACGACGUCAGCGGAAUUUGUGGUGUAGCGGUGAAAUGCUUAGAUAUCACGAAGAACUCCGAUUGCGAAGGCAGCCCACAAGGCCUUUACUGACGCUAAAGCUCGAAGGUGCGGGUAUCGAACA
rnacentral:rRNA from 1 species